AAACUUUCAACAACGGAUCUCUUGGUUCUGGCAUCGAUGAAGAACGCAGCGAAAUGCGAUAAGUAAUGUGAAUUGCAGACUUCAGUGAAUCAUCGAAUCUUUGAACGCACAUUGCGCCCGCGAGUAUUCUCGCGGGCAUGCCUGUUCGAGCGUCAUUU
rnacentral:rRNA from 1 species